GUGAUAGCCCUGGAGGUUGAAGUCCUUUGUUAAGCCACAGAACAGAUAAAGUAAUGGGCAGUAACAGUGCAAGCUUCCCCUGUUACUCUGCUAAUGUGCCUCUACUCUAACUAGAGUGAGCCCAGUUAAGGCGAGACAUUAGAUUCGUCUUCAUAAAUACAGUAACUCCUCCCU
rnacentral:sRNA from 1 species